rnacentral:rRNA from 1 species
UACGAGGGGGGCAAGCGUUGUUCGGAAUUAUUGGGCGUAAAGGGUGCGUAGGCGGCGCGGUAAGUCGGGUGUGAAAUCUCGGAGCUUAACUCCGAAACUGCAUUCGAUACUGCCGUGCUUGAGGACUGGAGAGGAGACUGGAAUUUACGGUGUAGCGGUGAAAUGCGUAGAUAUCGUAAGGGAGACCAGUGGCGAAGGCGGGUCUCUGGACAGUUCCUGACGCUGAGGCACGAAGGUCAGGGGAGCAAACGGG